rnacentral:rRNA from 1 species
UUACGGGAGGCAGCAGUGGGGAAUCUUGCGCAAUGGGCGAAAGCCUGACGCAGCGACGCCGCGUGUGCGAUGAAGGCCUUUGGGUCGUAAAGCACUGUCGACCGGGACGAAAACUCGCGGACUAACACUUCGUGAGCUUGACGGUACUGGUAAAGGAAGCACCGGCUAACUCUGUGCCAGCAGCCGCGGUAAUACAGAGGGUGCAAACGUUGCUCGGAAUUAUUGGGCGUAAAGCGCGUGUAGGCGGUCUGUUAAGUCGGUUGUGAAAACCCAUGGCUCAACCAUGGAAGUGCGUCCGAAACUGGCAGACUGGAGUCCUGACGAGGGUGGCGGAAUUCCCAGUGUAGAGGUGAAAUUCGUAGAUAUUGGGAGGAACAUCGGUGGCGAAGGCGGCCACCUGGGAAGGCACUGACGCUGAGACGCGAAAGCGUGGGGAGCAAACAGGAUUAGAUACCCCUGUAGUCC